AGUGCAGAUGUGUGUUGGAUGACUAAAUGGCUGGUGAAUGGGCAGGGCAGUGCCUUGUGCAUCUCUGCAUCCCCAGAACCCAGCUUGGUGCAGAGUGCAUAAGAGGACACUUGGUCAGGGACUUCCCUGGUGGCGCAGUGGUUAAGAAUCCGCCUGCCAAUGCAGGGGACACGGGUUUGAGCCCUGGUCCGGGAAGAUCCCACAUGCCGAGGAGCAACUAAGCCCGUGCGCCACAACUACUGAGCCUGCGCUCUAGGGCCCAUGUGUCGCAACUACUAAGCCCGAGUGCUGCAACUACUGAAGCCUGCGUGCCUAGAGCCUGUGCUCCGCAACAAAAGAAGCCACCGCAAUGAGAAGCCCACGCACCGCAACGAAGAGCAGCCCCUGCUCACUGCAACUAGAGAAAGCCCGCGCCCAGUGACGAAUACCCAACGCAGCCAAAAAAAAAAAAAAAGAAAGAAAAGGACACUUGGUCAAUGAGCGAGAAGGAAAUAGGAGAAGAAGGUGGGGAUACAAGAGGAAGGGAAGGGAAGAGGGAAUCAAAUCAGAGAGAUGCUGAGAAUGGCAGGUGGUACCUUGAGCGUGUGGCAUGCCUUGACUGUGGCUGCCAGGGAGUGGCAGUCGCGGUAGGUGAAGAGGAAGAGGUUCCACUCGAAGUUCAUGCCACAGUCCUUGACACCGUACACCAGGUCCAGCUCCUCCAGGUGGCUCAGGCCAGCCACCAGGUCGCCCAGUUGGUAGUGGCCCAUGGCCGGCUCCUCCUCCAUCUCUCCUUCACUGCUGGAGUCGGACUGAUCCCCGCCCCGAAGUGGGGGCGGGAGCUGCACGGGCGGAAGGAACUGAUCCACCCGGAUCGUGUGCACGUAGUUCCUGCAGAGCGGCAGCAGGCUGAGGAUCACCUCGGGGUCCGUGGUGCCGGGGAUGAAGUGCUUCAGCAGGUUCUCCAGGUGCAGCUCGAAGAACAUGCGCUUCCAGCUGCCGCCGUGCUCGUCCACGUGGCACACGGGCCAGCGUUGCGUGCAGCAGCGGCGCCAGUAGUUCUCAUCCUCUAUCAGGUCUGGUGGUGACAAGUGCUGUAGACAAAAUGAUGGCCCUGUCCUCACAGAGCUCCCCAUCUGGUAAGAGAGGUUGGCAACUCAUCUUUGAAAAGGAUGAACAUUUACAGAGACUAAAGUACAGAACAAACCAAGAACCUGUACACGCCAUGGAAGACUCCGAGAGAGUGGAGGACGAUCAAUCAGGGAGGGCUUUCUGGAGGAGGAGGCACCAGGCUGCCCAGGAAGCCAGGUGGUGCCCGCAACAACUCUGUAGAGAACCGCACGGCUCGACGGAGGAGCCGACGAAGUACCAGCCUAGAAGGAUUCAGAGCCCAGAUGAGCCCGCAGCAGGGAGGGGAGAGGGGAGGGCAAGGUCCAGAGUGUGUGCUCGCUUCCCCCUCCUCCUGCCAUCUCAACCCGACCCACCUCUCCAUCUCCUCCCUCCUCUCCCCUGCAACCCCCAGCAGCCCCUGCCCCUGCUGUAGCCCUUCCAGACUCACGGUGCACCAGACAUCCCAGGAGAGACGCCAUCGGCGAUGCAGAUGCUGAGCGUGCGGAUGUGGUCAGCCACCACACGGUACGCUGUGUCUGUGUGCCCCUCGUCUGCUGCCCCGACCCGGCCCGAGUAAGGGGGUGCCCCGCAACCCUGGGAAGCAGGAGAGGAGACAUGGCUGCCGGCCCUGCCUGCCCUGGCCCAGGAGGGACACUCUCCAUCACUCCUGGAGCAUCUGCCCUCACCCCUAAAGCUGACCGCAUCUGGAAUGGCCUGGGCCAGAGAAGCUUCAAAGGUGAAAGAGAGCCAGUCCCUGCCUCCUGGGGCCCACAUUCAGCACAGACAAGGAGCACAGCUGUGAUCAUUUACUGAAUUUCUAUUAUCAGAACCGGGUGGGUACUUGAAUGAUAUGGUGUCUAAUCCCUAAAACUUCCUGUUCUGGGAGGUGUUAAAGUGGAAAGUGGAAAGUGGAGAAGAAAAACAAAACAAAACAAAGACUAGACCAAAAAAAAGUGGAAAAAAAUAAAAACAAACAAAAAAAGAGGAAAGUGAGACUCAGAGGAGCUAAGUUCUACAAGGGCACACAAUUCAAGAGCAGAUCUGAGAUUUGAACCACGACUGUCCCACCCGGGUGCUCUUCAUUCCCCACACCUGCCUCUACAGCCUCUAUGGGCGCAGGGAAGGAGUGUGUGAGCUGUGAAUACAUUAAGCUGUGCCCCAAAGCAGAGUGCUUGGUUCAUCCAGCUCCAAACCUGUCUCUUCCCCAAGCUUCCCCCUCUCAAUAAACAGUCCUGCCAUUCACCACAUUACUCAAGUCAAAAACUCAGGAGCCAGGCUUGACUUUCUUUCCUCUCCCCAUCCAAUCCAUCAGUGGGGCCUUUUGUGUCUACCUCCAUGAGAUCUCUCAAAUCAACCUACUUUUCUCCACUUCCACUGCUACCAACCUAAGCCAUACCCUAUUAUCUUUCCUCAACUAUGAAAUAGGCUCCCAAUUGGUUUCUCAGCUUCUGCUCUGGUCUCCUUCCAGCCUAUCCUUCACACGGCAACAGGAGUGGCCUUUUAAAAGUGUCAGUCAGAUCGUGCCCCUCCUGCCUUGGAGCCCAUCUCACCACAUUUAGAAUAAAAGACUCACUUUGGACUUCAAGACCCCACAAGAUCUGACUCCUGCCUUCCUCUCUGUGGUAGACUGUUUGCAAAAUUGGCCACAGUCCUUCCCUUUCCUGUGUGCAUGCCACUUUGCAGCGUGACUUUACAGGUGCUUCCUAUCAAGGAAUAGAAUUUAUUUCUCCAUCCCUUGGAUCUGGGCUAGACUUGUGACUUGCUUUGGCCAACAGAAUGUGGUGGAAAUGACACUGUUCUGAGCCCAGGCCUCAAGAAGCCUCAUGUGCUUCCACUCUCCUUCUUGGAACCUUGCCAAGCUGUCAUGCGAACAGGCCCGAGCUACCCUGCUGGAUGAUAAACAUACAACCCGGUCAUCGCCACAGCCCUAAACUGACAGCCAGCCAACUCCCAGAAAUAGAGCUGCCUAGUAGCUGACCACAGAUGCAUGAGUGAGCUCAUACAGGACCAAGAGGGACCCAGCUGAGCCCAGCCUACAUUGCUUGUCCACAGUC